AAAAUUCCUGCGGGCCCAUUCCGUUACAGCGAUGCUAGACAAUAGUCUGGUCAUUUUGGCACCUCCUCCACUGCAAAGAGCAGAGAGGAGUGGACAAGUGGAGUUACCGAUCUGUUGAUCUGCUGGGAGGUCCACCUACAUCCAGAGGUGUGUCUUUGUCUUUGUCUCCGUAUUUAUCGGGCUUUUUCCGCCGUGCACAUCCACGUCUGACACUGGCUGUAUUUGGGGGUCUCGUUGAGUGACAGCUGGAUCCUCUGACUGAGAGCUUGGCGACCCGUCUCUCUGCAGAUGGGAGCAGUAGAAAGCAGGAUGUUGCGCGUACGCGUCUUUGACAGCGCGCGCACCCGAUAGGUCACACAUCUUGGGUCCGCAAAACAUCUGCCGUAAAAAAAAAAAAAAA